CACGAGGCUGGCCUCAGCGGCUCAGCUGCCACAAUGGUGAUCUCUGGGCGCCUAGUGGACAGAAGCCUCAGUGAGGUUUUGCAGGCCAGAGCCCUAACACCAAAGGUCUGAAGAAGGCCCAUGCCAGGACACCCAGAAAUUGCAAUAAUGGUGCCACUGCCUCCAUCAUCGCCACCAGCCCUUUCCCAGGAAGUCAGCUGAUGAGGAACAAUCCUUGGCAGUGGGGAGCGGGGCUGCUGGAUGACUUUGGCAGCUUGAGAAGAUAGCAGUGUGAAGAUCACCAAUGCAAAGAUCAUAACUAGGAAGGUUUUCUUUAGCUCAUUUAUUUUUGGAAGUAGCUUCAAAAGGAAUAAAUGUCUAGAGGUC